ensembl:lncRNA
GGGGUUGAAAUUUGGGGAAUUUUGGUCAAAUUUGGUGACUUCUGUGGACGGUCGCUUUUGUGGGUGAAAUUGGGGGAUUUUGGUGUUUUUGAGAGGGAAUUUGGGGCAUUUCUGGGGCGAUUUGGGGUCCGGUGGCGACGGGUUGAGCUGGGGGUGGUUUGGGGUGAAUUUUGGGGUGAAUUUGGGUUUUUUUGGGGGGGGACAGGAACGUUCCCCCCGACGCUGCAGUGCGCCAACGUGACGCUGCAGGCGGAGCAGCGCUGCCUCCGGGCGUUCCCGGAGCUCUUCAGCCCCAAUAUGAUCUGCGCCGCGGGGAGAGGAGCCGGGGGGGGAAACACCGAUGCCUGCCAGGUGGGGAACUGGGAUGGACUGGGAGGGAAUGGGACGGACUGGGAGGGAAUGGGAGGGAAUGGGAGGGAAUGGGGGGGACUGGGACGGACUGGGAGGGAAUGGGAGGGAAUGGGAG